rnacentral:rRNA from 1 species
GAUGAACGCUGGCGGCGUGCCUAAUACAUGCAAGUCGAGCGAACGGACGAGGAGCUUGCUCCUCUGACGUUAGCGGCGGACGGGUGAGUAACACGUGGAUAACCUACCUAUAAGACUGGGAUAACUUCGGGAAACCGGAGCUAAUACCGGAUAAUAUAUUGAACCGCAUGGUUCAAUAGUGAAAGACGGUUUUGCUGUCACUUAUAGAUGGAUCCGCGCCGCAUUAGCUAGUUGGUAAGGUAACGGCUUACCAAGGCAACGAUGCGUAGCCGACCUGAGAGGGUGAUCGGCCACACUGGAACUGAGACACGGUCCAGACUCCUACGGGAGGCAGCAGUAGGGAAUCUUCCGCAAUGGGCGAAAGCAUGACGGAGCAACGCCGCGUGAGUGAUGAAGGUCUUCGGAUCGUAAAACUCUGUUAUUAGGGAAGAACAAAUGUGUAAGUAACUAUGCACGUCUUGACGGUACCUAAUCAGAAAGCCACGGCUAACUACGUG